UUCGUAGCCAGAUCCCAGAUGAGCUUCUACAAUGGGACAGGACCCACUGACCAAGUUGCUACUCCAAGCUCCCACGACAAUCGAUCUUUGACCGAGCUUUUACAAUAAGCGGUCUCCCUUCAGCCUUCUACAAGAAUCAGACUCCGUUCGAACUCCCAUAGCGGAUGGAUAUCGGAUGAGCUUCUACAACGGACGGACUUCGACAGUUGGAUUCCUACAACGAUCGAUCACCUCUGAUGUCUGCCGAACCUCCCCAAUGCCAUCCAAAGUCCAUCACCGGCCGACCCUCCACCAGAUUCUUCAUGAAACCAAACUUCUCCAAUGGAUCUGUGG
rnacentral:lncRNA from 1 species